rnacentral:rRNA from 1 species
AUUGAACGCUGGCGGCAGGCCUAACACAUGCAAGUCGAGCGGAUGAAGGGAGCUUGCUCCUGGAUUCAGCGGCGGACGGGUGAGUAAUGCCUAGGAAUCUGCCUGGUAGUGGGGGAUAACGUCCGGAAACGGGCGCUAAUACCGCAUACGUCCUGAGGGAGAAAGUGGGGGAUCUUCGGACCUCACGCUAUCAGAUGAGCCUAGGUCGGAUUAGCUAGUUGGUGGGGUAAAGGCCUACCAAGGCGACGAUCCGUAACUGGUCUGAGAGGAUGAUCAGUCACCCGGAAACGGAGACACGGCCCAGACCCCUAGGGGGGGCCACAGUGGGGAAUUUUGGAAAAGGGGCGAAACCCUGACCCAGCCAUGCCGGGUGGGGGAAGAAGGGUUUGGGAUUGAAAAGCAAUUUAAGUUGGGAGGAAGGUCAGGAAGUUAAUACCUUGCUUUUUUGACGUUACCAACAAAAAAAGCACCGGCUAACUUCGU